GGGCCCUUAGCUCAGCGGUAGAGCAGCGGCCUUUUAAGCCGUUGGCCGCGGGUUCAAAUCCCGCAGGGCCCACCA
rnacentral:tRNA from 8 species